rnacentral:rRNA from 1 species
GACGAACGCUGGCGGCGUGCCUAACACAUGCAAGUCGAGCGAACAGACGAGGUGCUUGCUCCUCUGACUUUAUCAGCGGACGGGUGAUUAACACGUGGUUAACAUACCUCUCCGACUGGGAUAACAUCGGCAAACCGGAGCUACUAACGGAUGAUAUAUUGAACCUCAUUGUUCAAUAGUGAGAGACGGUUUUUGUGUCGCUUAUAGAUGGAUCCGCGCCGCAUUAGCUAGUUGGUAAGGUGACGGCUUACCAAGGCAACGAUGCGUAGCCGACCUGCGAGGGGGAUCGGCCACACUGGAACGGAGACACGGUCCAGACUACUACGGGGGGCAGCAGUAGGGAAUCUUCCGCAAUGGGCGAAGGCCUGAAGGAGCAACGCCGCGCGAGUGAUGAAGGUCGUCGGAUCGUAAAACUCUGUUAUGAGGGAAGAACAAAUGUGUAAGUAACUAUGCACGUCUUGACGGUACCUAGGCAGAAAGCCACGGCUAACUACGUG